rnacentral:lncRNA from 1 species
CUUACUCAGUCCAAAGCUUUGUCCCUGACUCUUGCUCUCAGGAAGCUAAUUUCUCUACCGUUACAAUCUACUCUGGGAGAGAGGAGGAUGCUUGGGCAAGUUACAUUGCCUUUUAAAGCCACAGGGGUAUCGUUUGGUGCAUUCCUGCCCCAGCAAUUAUUACCUUCUGAGAGCCUGCUGAGCUGCCUCCUGCUUUCCCUUUGGUCUCCGUGGGGACUCGUUAUGUUUCCAGCAGGCAAGUAUGAAAUCGUAUAGUGCUGGCUUACCAGAAGGGUUUGCUACGGGAAUUUCACAGACAGCGACGGCUUCUCUUAAAGGAAUUUACAUCCCGUGCAGCAGAAUAGGGAAUGGUUGUGGCAGAUGAUGGUAAAAGGAAUUGUAUUAAUAUUACAUGUAUUAAUAUUCUCUGUCUGCUAGGCAGAGAACCAAUGGGUUCUAAUAGCACAGAUCUAUAUCAGCACCCCCACCACAUGAAGUCUGUUUAUGGGGCAGUGGUAUUUCCUCUUCACAGAUUAGGAAAACUCAGGCUCAGCGUUUCCUUAUCUUCCAGAGCAGGAAUCCUUUAUUGUUAUUGUUAUUAUUAUUAUUAAUUAUUAUUAUUUCAUGUGCACUUGUGUUUUGCCUGCACAUAUUUCUGUGUGAGGGUGUGAGUUACAGACAGUUGUGAGCUGCCAUGUGGAUGCUGACAGUUGAACCCAGGUCCUCUGGAAGAGCAGCCACUGCUCUUAACCACUGAGCCAUCUCUCCAGCUCUCCAGAGCAGGAAUUUUCACUUUUUUUUUUUUUUUUUUUUUUUUUUUUGGUUUUUUGAGGCAGGGUUUCUCUGUAUAGCCCUGGCUGUCCUGGAACUCACUUUGUAGACCAGGCUGGCCUUGAACUCAGAAAUCCUCAGCCUCCCGAGUGCUGGGAUUAAAGGCGUGUGCCGCCAUGCCCGGCUUCUUCUUCUUCUUUUUUUUUUUUUUUUUUUAAGAUGUAUUUAUUUAUUUUUAUUUUAUGUAUAUGAGUACACUGUAGCUGUACAGAUGGUUGUGAGCCACCAUGUGGUUGCUGGGAUUUGAACUCAGGACCUUUGACAGAACAGUCAGUGCUCUUACCCCCUGAGCCAUCUCACCAGCCCCAGAGCAGGAAUUCUUAACAAGAUCCCUGAGGCUUCAGGUGACAGGAUUCCGGAGAUCUGCCAAGGCAGGUAGGUCAUUGAUUUGUCCUUGGGUACAGAGUGGGUGUGAUUUUUUUCCUCUACAGAAUUCUGUGACUGUCAAAGAUUUCCAAGCCACUACAAUGGCUCCCCUAUUCUUGUAAUUAGUAAUACAACUAAUUAGUAAGUAUUAUGUUUGGAUAUGAAUCCCCCUGCCCCCUGGCUUAUGUGUGGAAAGCUUGCUAUCCAGCCUGGUGGGCUUAGUCAUUUGAGAAUUUACUGAAUUCUGAGGCCUUUGACUAAUGAGUGGAUUAAUCCAUACUUGAUGGAUUCAUACUAUGAUGGCAUUUUCGGGAGGCACAGCCUCGUUGGAGAAAGCACGUGCCCUGGAUAGAGAUACCAUUGCCCUAACCUUUCCAGUUUCCCUUUGCUCCCUUAUAUUCACCAUGUGAGCAGCCUUUCCUUCCCUGUGCCCUUCGGCCAUGAUGCUUCUGCCUUGGCAUACGCUUAAAGCAAUGCAGUCAGCUGACCGUGGUCUGAAACCCCUGAAACCAAACCAAACAACCUAACCAAAAUAAGACGAAAACUUUCCUCCUUGUAAGUGGUUUCUGACCAGCAUCUUAUCACAGUGUUGAAACAGCUAACACAGCAAGUUGGGUCCCUGAUGAUGUUCAAGCCUACAUUUUGAUGUGUUUUCUUUGAUUGCUAUACUGGCUAGUUUUGUGUCAACUUGACACAGCUGGAGUUAUCUCAGAGGAAGG